AACGUAGGUGGCGAGCGUUAUCCGGAUUUACUGGGCGUAAAGGGCGCGUAGGCGGCCCUCCUAGUCGCGUGUGAAAGCCCCGGGCUCAACCUGGGAAUUGCGCGCGAAACGGGGGGGCUUGAGUUCGGGAGAGGAGCGUGGAAUUCCCAGUGUAGAGGUGAAAUUCGUAGAUAUAGGAAGGAACACCAGUGGCGAAGGCGACCACCUGGACUGAUACUGACACUGAGGUGCGAAAGCGUGGGGAGCAAACAGG
rnacentral:rRNA from 1 species